rnacentral:rRNA from 1 species
CCUACGGGGGGCAGCAGUGAGGAAUAUUGGUCAAUGGGCGUAAGCCUGAACCAGCCAAGUCGCGUGAGGGAUGAAGGUUCUAUGGAUCGUAAACCUCUUUUAUAAGGGAAUAAAGUGUGGGACGUGUCCUGUUUUGUAUGUCCCUUAUGAAUAAGGAUCGGCUAACUCCGUGCCAGCAGCCGCGGUAAUACGGAGGAUCCGAGCGUUAUACGGAUUUAUUGGGUUUAACGGGUGCGUAGGCGGCCUUUUAAGUCAGCGGUGAAAGUCUGUGGCUCAACCAUAGAAUUGCCGUUGAAACUGGGUGGCUUGAGUAUGUUUGAGGCAGGCGGAAUGCGUGGUGUAGCGGUGAAAUGCUUAGAUAUCACGAAGAACCCCGGUUGCGAAGGCAGCUUACUAAACUGUGACUGACAUUGAUGCUCGAAAGUGUGGGUAGCAAACAGGAUUAGAUACCCUUGUAGUC